GACAGAGGUGCCGAGCGUUAGGCGGAAUCACUGGGCUUAAAGCGUGUGUAGGCGGACCUGUAAGUACCUUGUGAAAUCCCACGGCUCAACCGUGGAACUGCUCGGUAUACUGCGGGUCUUGAGCCACUUAGGGGCAGUCGGAACAGACGGUGGAGCGGUGAAAUGCGUAGAUAUCGGGAGGAACACCUGUGGCGAAAGCGGCAUACUGGACCAUAACUGACGCUGAGGCGCGAAAGCGUGGGGAGCAAACAGG
rnacentral:rRNA from 1 species